UAGCGUGGGCGUGCGGGGAUGCGCUGCUCGGCCGCAGGCAGCAGCCACUGAUCCACCGGCGGGAGCGGGAGCGGCUCUAUCAUGGCGGGGCGGGUCGCCGCUGCCGCGCUGCUGGUGAUGAGCGCCGGAGCCGCGUUGGCGUGGGUGCCGGGAGUGCGCCUGCCUCGGGGCCCUCUCUUCAGGGUAGAGGGAAGCCAGCUAUCAGUGUUCUGCAACGUGUCGGCCCUGGAUGAGACCAGUGUGCUGGAUUUCGAGUGGACUUUAAUCCGACGCUCGGAGCCUCCGGUAAGGCUCAGGCUGGUGAGUACGCGGGACCCGACCUUCGCCCACGCCAGCCUCCGACACAGGGUGCUCUCCACCGAGGUCGCCAUCAGACGCCCCGCACCCGGCUCCGUCCAGCUGCUCAUUGGGAAGGUUCGCAAAUCCGAUGAGGGCGACCUGGAGUGCAGUGUCCCGGCAGCAGAGGGGAGAUAUCGGGCCGAGUACACGGCCCUCGUCCAGCUGAAAGUGGUGCCAGACACACUGCAGCUGACGGGCCCAGAUGCAGUGGAGCCGCUCACGCUGCACCAGGGGCAGUCACUGGCGCUACACUGUGCCGUGGCCUCCUCCUCACCACUGCACCUCCACGUGGCAGUGAGUUUCGUCCUGCAGGAGGCGGCAGCGGGCCGGGGGCAGCCUGUGGCGGGGCUGGACCGUGAUCUUGCCCUGGACGUGGACACGGGGGGCCCCUUCUGGCUGCGUUUCACGCGCGGAGAGGUGGGGCUGCAGAAAUUUGGUGCCAACUCCUACCACCUGUACGUGCAGCAUGUGGAGAUGCAGGACGCGGGGCGUUACGAGUGUGUGGCCGCACAGUGGCUCCAGGACCCCGACGGAAGCUGGCAGAAGAUUCUGGAGAAAUCCGUCCCACUGGUCGAGCUGAGUGUCCAGCCCAAUGAGCUGGCGGUGCGGGCUGAGAUCGCUGUGGCCCCGGCCAUGUUCUACCGUGGGGACACGGUGGCCCUGCUGUGUAACGGCAGCCUGGGGGCCCCGCUGGAGGAGGGGCAGCUGUCGGUGGGCUGGUGGGGCCCCGGGCAGCGGCUGCUGGCCAGCGUGGACCGGCGUGGGGUGCGAGCUGCCGGGGACGAGCGGACCGCGGUCGGGACGGAGCUGAGUGUGGACAGACCCGGCCCGUUGUGCUUCCGUCUACGGCUGCACGGUGCCCACCGCCAGGACCAGGGGCUGUACAGCUGCCAGCUAGCGCUGUGGGCACAAAGCCAGGACGGACACUGGUACCAGGCAACCGAUGCCAGCUCCUCUCCCACCACACUCUUCCUCUACCUUACCGUGUCUGACACGCUCACGCUGCCAGCUGUGGUGGGCGCGGUGACCUCUCUGUCGGUCUCCAUCGCCAUUGUCGCCGGCGUGACCUGCUGCUUCCUGCGGCGCCUCAGAAAGCGGAGGGACGCACAGUGAGUCUGGCCAAGCACACGCGGGCAGUACAGGCCGCACGGCAUAAUGUGGAGACAGCCUCACACUGCAGGGAGAUCUUGAUGCCCGUCCGUGAGUUUCCAAGCUGAGGAACUGAGAGGCAAGAUUGAAUGGUUUAACAGUCGUCGAUACGCCAAAAGACCAUGUAACCCUGAUUUGCAUCACUGUUUACAGAGCGUACUGGGGUAGCAGCUGAUAUUACCUGAGUAGUUUCCAAUGAACUAUGAUCUCUGCCUUGGGAAGGACAUUUUCGCAAAGUCACGCAGCUGGGAGGUGCUCUAGCAGUGAUUUCCCGCCUUGUUUUGUACAAUAAUCUCUUGUUUGUAAUUGUGUAUAAAUGAGUUGCUAGAUUUUACAGGCAGUGAACGAGAUCAUACUGUUCAAUUUAUAACAGGAAUUUCUAGCUGUUUCUUUUAAUCUGUUAUUUAUGGUUUUGAGGCAAAAUGCCAUACCACAAGGUGCUGCUGGGGAAUGCGUUUGUGGAUGUUGAAUAUGGCAUCAUUUAGCUGGUGAUGAGGCAGGUGAUUGAGCACCUGAAUUGCUUCUCACACUGCUUGGCCAAGGUUGUGGAAAAGAUGCUGAUGCCCACGGCCUGGUGAUGAUAAAACGGUACAAUGUGGCUUUGUAUGUGUCUACUUUGGAUGAUAAAAUUAAUCAAGAAUGGCAAACAGUUAUUAUCUUCCACCACCAUGGGCAAGUUUUGAGUCAGAUCAUUCCUGGUUCCGAAAGGAACCUUUACUGAUUAUUGAUUUUUUUUUUUCCAAAAUGGACCAAAAUAUGUUUCUUGGUGUGAAAGGAUGCAAAGACAAUGCUUUUUGUCUCUCCUCU